ACACGUAGGGGCCUGACGUUGUUCGGAAUCAUUGGGCGUAAAGGGCGCGCAGGCGGCCGUCCAAGUCCGGUGUUAAAUGGUCGGGCUCAACCCGAUCAUGCGCUGGAAACUGGGCGGCUUGAGUCCCGUAGGGGAUGCCGGAAUUCCAGGUGUAGGGGUGAGAUCUGUAGAUAUCUGGAAGAACACCGAUGGCGAAGGCAGGCAUCUGGCCGGAGACUGACGCUGAGGCGCGAAGGCGCGGGGAGCGAACAGGUUUAGAUACCCUGGUAGUCCGCGCAGUAAACGAUGCGCACCAGGUGUCGGGCGGCAGCGCCCGGUACCGGAGCUAACGCGAUGAGUGCGCCGCCUGGGGAGUAUGCCCGCAAGGGUGAAACUCAAAGGAAUUGACGGGG
rnacentral:rRNA from 1 species